AACGAACGCUGGCGGCGCGCCUAAUACAUGCAAGUCGAGCGAGAAGACGUAGCAAUACGUUUGUAAAGCGGCGAACGGGUGAGGAAUACAUGGGUAACCUACCCUCGAGUGGGGAAUAACUAGCCGAAAGGUUAGCUAAUACCGCGUACGCUCCUUGGACUUCGGUUCAGGGAGGAAAGCGAUACCGUGGGUAUUGCGCUCUUGGACGGGCUCAUGUCCUAUCAGCUUGUUGGUGAGGUAACGGCUCACCAAGGCUUCGACGGGUAGCUGGUCUGAGAGGACGAUCAGCCACACUGGCACUGCGACACGGGCCAGACUCCUACGGGAGGCAGCAGUAAGGAAUAUUGCGCAAUGGGCGAAAGCCUGACGCAGCGACGCCGCGUGGGGGAUGAAGGUCUCGGAUUGUAAACCCCUUUCGGGAGGGAAGAUGGAACGAGCAAUCGUUCGGACGGUACCUCCCG
rnacentral:rRNA from 1 species